rnacentral:misc_RNA from 1 species
CUUCUUCUGCAUCUUGUGCUCAGCCUUAACAUCUGGCAAAGUCUGGCUUGUCUCCUGUGUUUCCUUUCCCAGCAAUGCCUCGUUCCUGCUCCCAGUCACAUUCUUGCAAUUCAUCUCAUAAAUGGACUCGUCAUGAUAUACUGAUAUUCUGAACCUUGAAAAGAACCACACUAUUAAAUCAAAAUUUUUACUCUUAUUUGGAUACAGACAAUCCACAGCUGUGAAACAAAGUUCAGAAAGCAAAUUGGCCACAGAUGCACUUAUCAACUCUGGGUUGCUCAAUGCAUCAUUCCCACUUGUGAAUUUUCUGAACCAUUCGUUCUGAAACCUCUUCCCACUAGAUUUAGAAAUCGAAUGGGAUCCAAUAAAUUGACCAGCAACGGCAUUUUCAUAUUCUGCCUCUUGAGAAGCUUCAUGAGCCU